GAGCUCAAGCAUCGCGCCAGCGUCAAUAGGCAUCACAAGUUAGAGAAGCGGUUCUUAGAAUAUGUAUGGGAACUGAAUCGAGAUGGCACGGCGACUGCCUGAAGGACAGCAUGCCUAAACCACCAUUGCUUUUUGCGCAGAUUCUGCCGUGGUUUAUCGCCGAUCUGCCGGCAGCAAACGACUGGAUUGAAGUGGAAUUCUCCGGAAGCCUCAGCGUGGCAAUGCUACGCGGACCAUCAACUUGACAACGCCUACCCUGGCCUACCCUGCUGGAGUGACGUCACCCUUGAACAGUCUAUAAAAGGUGCAACCAUUCUGUGAUCUCUUCAGAGGGCACGGCGACUGCCUGAAGGACAGCAUGCCUGAAUCGCCACUGCUCUUAGCGCAGAUUCUGUCGUGCUUUAUCGCCGUUCUGCCGACAGCAAACAACUGGAUUGAACUGGAAUUCUCCGGUGGGCCUCAGCGUGGCUAUAAUACCGCGGACCAUCAACUUGACAACGCCUACCCUGCUGGAGUGAUGUCACCCCUGAAGAGUCUACAAAAGGCGCAACCCUUUUGUGAAUCACCACUGCUCUUUGCGCAGAUGCUUGCGUUACCUUCAGUUAUAUUCUCAAGAGGCAUCGCGUUGGUGCAGGUGCCGGUGAACAACCGCCUAUAUACUGGCACCGGGAGGGCGCAUUUCGGGAUCUAUGACGCCCUGACUGACUGAAAGUUAUGGCAAUCUGCAAAGAGCAAAGAGAAACCGUGAAAAUUCUGCCGUAAGGUUAAUAAACAAAGCCAAGCAUACCGCAA